rnacentral:rRNA from 1 species
UACGUAGGGCGCAAGCGUUGUCCGGAAUUAUUGGGCGUAAAGAGCUCGUAGGCGGCCAGUUGCGUCCGCUGUGAAAUCCUGGGGCUUAACCCCGGGCGUGCAGUGGAUACGGGCUGGCUAGAGGCAGGCAGGGGAGAACGGAAUUCCCGGUGUAGCGGUGAAAUGCGCAGAUAUCAGGAGGAACACCCGUAGCGAAGGCGGCACUCUGGGCCGAUUCUGACACUGAGGAGCGAAAGCGUGGGGAGCGAACAGG